UGCAGUCGAGGGGUAACAGGGAGUGCUUGCACUCUGCUGACGACCGGCGCACGGGUGCGUAACGCGUAUGCAAUCUACCUCUUACUGAGGGAUAGCCCAUGGAAACGUGGAUUAAUACCUCAUAGUAUUAUAGACUGGCCUCAGUUUAUGAUUAAAGGUUACGGUAAGAGAUGAGCAUGCGUCCUAUUAGCUAGAUGGUAAGGUAACGGCUUACCAUGGCUACGAUAGGUAGGGGUCCUGAGAGGGAGAUCCCCCACACUGGUACUGAGACACGGACCAGACUCCUACGGGAGGCAGCAGUGAGGAAUAUUGGACAAUGGGCGAGAGCCUGAUCCAGCCAUGCCGCGUGCAGGAAGACGGCCCUAUGGGUUGUAAACUGCUUUUACAGAGGAAGAACCCUCCUUACGUGUAAGGAGCUGACGGUACUCUAUGAAUAAGGAUCGGCUAACUCCGUGCCAGCAGCCGCGGUAAUACGGAGGAUCCAAGCGUUAUCCGGAAUCAUUGGGUUUAAAGGGUCCGUAGGCGGGUCUAUAAGUCAGUGGUGAAAGUCUGCAGCUUAACUGUAGAACUGCCAUUGAUACUGUAGACCUUGAAUUAGUAUGAAGUGGUUAGAAUGUGUAGUGUAGCGGUGAAAUGCAUAGAUAUUACACAGAAUACCGAUUGGCGAAGGCAGAUCACUAAUACUAUAUUGACGCUGAUGGACGAAAGCGU
rnacentral:rRNA from 1 species